rnacentral:tRNA from 1 species
CGCGGGAUGGAGCAGUUGGUAGCUCGUYGGGCUCAUAACCCAAAGGUCGUAGGUUCAAGUCCUACUCCCGCAACCA